rnacentral:rRNA from 1 species
GAUGAACGCUAGCGGCAGGCUUAAUACAUGCAAGGCGAAGGGGCAGCAAUGUCACUGUCGUACGGGUGCGUAACGCGUAUGCAACCUACCUAUCACUGGGGGAUAGCCCGGGGAAACCCGGAUUAAUACCGCAUAACACAGGGGCUCCUCAUGGAGAUAUUUGUUAAAAGAUUUAUCGGUGGUAGAUGGGCAUGUGUUCG